GAUGAACGCUGGCGGCGUGCCUAACACAUGCAAGUCGAGCGAUUCUCUUCGGAGAAGAGCGGCGGACGGGUGAGUAACGCGUGGGUAACCUGCCCUGUACACACGGAUAACAUACCGAAAGGUAUGCUAAUACGAGAUAAUAUGCUUUUAUCGUAUGGUAGAAGUAUCAAAGCUUUUGCGGUACAGGAUGGACCCGCGUCUGAUUAGCUAGUUGGUAAGGUAACGGCUUACCAAGGCGACGAUCAGUAGCCGACCUGAGAGGGUGAUCGGCCACAUUGGAACUGAGACACGGUCCAAACUCCUACGGGAGGCAGCAGUGGGGAAUAUUGCACAAUGGGCGAAAGCCUGAUGCAGCAACGCCGCGUGAGCGAUGAAGGCCUUCGGGUCGUAAAGCUCUGUCCUCAAGGAAGAUAAUGACGAUACUUGAGGAGGAAGCCCCGGCUAACUACGUGCCAGCCGCCGCGGUAA
rnacentral:rRNA from 1 species